rnacentral:rRNA from 1 species
GGGGCGAGCGUUAUCCGGAUUCAUUGGGCGUAAAGCGCGCGCAGGCGGACCGUUAAGCGGGACCUCUAAUCCUGGGGCUCAACCUCAGGCCGGGUCCCGAACUGGCGAGCUCGAGUGCGGUAGGGGCAGGCGGAAUUCCCGGUGUAGCGGUGGAAUGCGCAGAUAUCGGGAAGAACACCGAUGGCGAAGGCAGCCUGCUGGGCCGACACUGACGCUGAGGCGCGAAAGCUAGGGGAGCGAAC